GAUGAACGCUAGCGACAGGCCUAACACAUGCAAGUCGAGGGGCAGCACAUGAGUAGCAAUACGAUGGUGGCGACCGGCGCACGGGUGAGUAACACGUAUGCAACCUACCUGUAAGAGGGGAAUAACCCGGAGAAAUUCGGACUAACACCGCAUAAUACCUCGAAGCUGCAUGGCUUUGAGGUUAAAUAUUUAUAGCUUACAGAUGGGCAUGCGUAACAUUAGAUAGUUGGUGAGGUAAUGGCUCACCAAGGCGACGACGGGUAGCCGGCCUGAGAGGGCGACCGGCCACACUGGGACUGAGACACGGCCCAGACUCCUACGGGAGGCAGCAGUGGGGAAUAUUGGACAAUGGGCGCAAGCCUGAUCCAGCAAUGCCGCGUGUGUGAAGAAGGUCUUCGGAUCGUAAAGCACUUUCGACAGGGACGAUGAUGACGGUACCUGUAGAAGAAGCCCCGGCUAACUUCGUG
rnacentral:rRNA from 1 species